rnacentral:rRNA from 1 species
GACUACAUGAAGCUGGAAUCGCUAGUAAUCGCGGAUCAGAAUGCCGCGGUGAAUACGUUCCCGGGUCUUGUACACACCGCCCGUCACACCAUGGGAGUCGGAAAUGCCCGAAGUCUGUGACCCAACCUACGGGAGGGAGCAGCCGAAGGCAGGUCGGAUGACUGGGGUGAAGUCGUAACAAGGUAUC